rnacentral:snRNA from 1 species
UUGCUUAGGCAGCACAUAUUCUAAAACUGGAAUGAUACAGAGAAGAUUAACAUGGCCCAUGCACAAGGAUGACAUGCAAAUUUGUGAAGCAUCCUCCCCCCCC